rnacentral:rRNA from 1 species
GGGGAUAACCUUGCGAAAGUAAGACUAAUACCCAAUGAUAUCUCUAGAAGACAGCUGAAAGAGAUUAAAGAUUUAUCGGUGAUGGAUGGGGAUGCGUCUGAUUAGCUUGUUGGCGGGGUAACGGCCCACCAAGGCAACGAUCAGUAGGGGUUCUGAGAGGAAGGUCCCCCACAUUGGAACUGAGACACGGUCCAAACUCCUACGGGAGGCAGCAGUGAGGAAUAUUGGUCAAUGGACGAGAGUCUGAACCAGCCAAGUAGCGUGCAGGAUGACGGCCCUAUGGGUUGUAAACUGCUUUUAUAAGGGAAUAAAGUGAGUCUCGUGAGACUUUUUGCAUGUACCUUAUGAAUAAGGACCGGCUAAUUCCGUGCCAGCAGCCGCGGUAAUACGGAAGGUCCGGGCGUUAUCCGGAUUUAUUGGGUUUAAAGGGAGCGUAGGCCGGAGAUUAAGCGUGUUGUGAAAUGUAGACGCUCAACGUCUGCACUGCAGCGCGAACUGGUUUCCUUGAGUACGCACAAAGUGGGCGGAAUUCGUGGUGUAGCGGUGAAAUGCUUAGAUAUCACGAAGAACUCCGAUUGCGAAGGCAGCUCACUGGAGCGCAACUGACGCUGAAGCUCGAAAGUGCGGGUAUCGAACAGGAUUAGAUACCCUGGUAGUCCGCACGGUAAACGAUGGAUGCCCG